UGAACGCGGCGGGCGUGCCUAAUACAUGCAAGUCGAACGAGGUGCCUUUGUAGCAAUACGAGGGUAUCCUAGUGGCGAACGGGUGAGUAACGCGUUGGUGACCUGCCCCGAAGUGUGGGAUAACAGUCCGAAAGGACUGCUAAUACCGCAUGCGGUCAUCGGGUUUAGAAACCGAUGACCAAAGCAGCAAUGCGCUUUGGGAGGGACCUGCGUCCCAUCAGCUAGUUGGUAGGGUAACGGCCUACCAAGGCUACGACGGGUAGGGGGCCUGAGAGGGUGACCCCCCACAAUGGAACUGAAACACGGUCCAUACACCUACGGGUGGCAGCAGUAGGGAAUAUUGCACAAUGGGCGAAAGCCUGAUGCAGCAACGCCGCGUGCACGAUGAAGGUCUUCGGAUCGUAAAGUGCUUUUCUGGGAGAUGAGAAAGGACAGUAUCCCAGGAAUAAGUCUCGGCUAACUACGUGCCAGCAGCCGCGGUAAAACGUAGGAGGCAAGCGUUAUCCGGAUUCACUGGGCGUAAAGCGCGUGCAGGCGGCUCGGUAAGUUGGGCGUGAAAUCUCCUGGCUUAACUAGGAGAGGCCGUUCAAUACUACCGGGCUAGAGAGCAGUAGAGGAAGAUGGAAUUCCCGGUGUAGUGGUGAAAUGCGUAGAUAUCGGGAGGAACACCAGUGGCGAAGGCGGUCUUCUGGACUGUUUCUGACGCUCAGACGCGAAAGCUAGGGUAGUAAACGGGAUUAGAGACCCCGGUAAUCCUAGCCGUAAACGAUGUGAACUUGGCGUCGGUAGCUUAAACACUAUCGGUGCCGAAGCAAACGCGAUAAGUUCACCGCCUGGGGACUACGAUCGCA
rnacentral:rRNA from 1 species